AAGGUGUGAGUGAACAUGGUAGGCAGCUUCUGACAUGACCCCCAAUGAACCCCACUUUUGGGAUCCAUGUUCUUGUAUAGUCCCGUCCCCGAGUAUGAGCUGGACCUAAUGACUUGCUUUUAGUGAACAGAAAAUGGCAAAAGUGGUGGAAUAUCACUUCUGUUUGGGGUUGUUAGCCUUCUCUUUCUUGUGUUCUCUCUUGCUUCCUGCCAUGUUGUGAGAUGCUCUGUGGAGAGGCCCACGUAGCAAGGAACUGAGGGCGACCUCUAGCCAACAGCUCAUGAGAAACUGAGUCCAAUGACCUGUUAGGAUCUGAAUCCUGCCAACAACCACCUAAAUGAGCUUGAAUACUGGAUGCAGAUGACAGUGAUGAACUAGGGGAUGGCAGAGCCACCAAAUGGAGUGAUCAUGGACACCUGAAUCAUCACAUGGAAGAGACCUCCUUACCCUCUUUGAGCUCCUGGUGGGGUCCUGCUUUUCCAGCAUCCAUGUAAGGGGGAGGUGAUGAGGAGGUAAUCGAACUCCAGUUCUGCUGGCAGGUAUAACUCCCUCCAACCCCGGACUCAGAAGGACCUGGGAGACUCAUUUAUUAGACAGAUCUUUAGUGACUUCCUACAAUGUGCCAACGUAUUAGGGGCAGAAGAUUCACCAGGGACAACGACAGAGUCCCUCUGUGAGCUUAAACUGUGAUGAGAAAGACAAGACAAUGAAAAAUUCCAAGACAAAGAAUAUCUCCCAAUACUCUUAAAUAUAGAUAUCUGGACUGAAUUGAACUUAGAUGACAAUUGCUGUCAAGAUUCUGGAACUCAGAAUGGGAAAUCCAGAAGGCAGCAGAAGUGAGGUUGUACGAGUUCCAACCCGAGGCCUUGAAGCUUCCAUUCUCAUGGUGGGAAUCCUGAUGGAGAAUGAAAGUCCAUGUGGAGAGAGGCCCCAGCUGCCUCUGCCCCCCGCAGCCAUCUCAGUUGAGACCCACACCUGUGAGUGAACCCAGCUACGAACAGGGAAAACCCACUGCUUGAUUGCGAAUCUUCAGAAGCAUCCAAAGAUAGCUGCCACGUGACCCAGAAUACCAUUCCAGCCUUCAACUAUGCAUAUGUCUGCCGACUGUUGAGGAAAAACACCACAACGUGGCUCCUCUCAUAAGACCACGUUUCAGAAAGUUGGCCAGAGGAGAUGUUGGAGAUGGGAGGCAAAUAUUCCAAUAAACAGAUUUCUUUGAAAUUAUGUUUACGUUAGUCUCAUCAGUGCUUUACUUCUGACUAAAUGUCUUUUGAAUUCUUGGGUUUUUAAAAUGAAGAAAAAAAAUAAACUGUUGGAAAUGGUGUAGUUUCUGGAUAAGGGAAGUCCUAGAGACGGCCGUCCGCUAGUGGCCCAGGGCGAGGCUCAG